rnacentral:misc_RNA from 1 species
UGUUUGGUUUGACUUAUAAGUCAAAUCUACGUAUAAGUAUAAAGUUAUAUGUAGUUUAGUGUUUGGUUUGACUUAUAAGUAAAAAAAACUAUUUAAAAUAAGUCGAGAGUUAUAAAUAAAGAUACCUUACUUAUAGUUUAUUUAAUUAUUUUAAAAUUACUCUUUGACUUGACUAAGUAAAAGACUAUAUUAUCCUAAUAAUUUUUA